rfam:Brachypodium distachyon strain Bd21 chromosome 4, whole genome shotgun sequence.
AUACUGCUCCGUCCGUCCUAUAUUAAGUGACUCAAAUUUGUCUAAAUAUGAAUAUAUCUAUACCCAAAAAACGUCUAGAUACAUGUAAUAUUUCUGUCACUUAAUAUGGGACGGAGGGAGUACUAA